AUGGAGUUAGGAGGCAGGAGCAGGUAAAGGGUAGAUAUGGAGGCAGGAGCAGGUUAAGGGUAGAUAUGGAGUUAAGAGGCAGGUUAUUAAGGGGUAGAUAUGGAGGCAGGAGCAGGUAAAGGGUAGAUAUGGAGUUAGGAGGCAGGAGCAGGUAAAGGGUAGAUAUGUAGUUAGAAGGCAGGUUAAGGGUAGAUAUGGAGUUAGGAGGCAGGAGCAGGUAAAGGGUAGAUAUGGAGGUAGGAGCAGGUUUAGGGUAGAUAUGGAGGCAGGAGGCAGGUUUAGGGUAGAUAUGUAGUUAGGAGGCAGGUUACGGGUAGACAUGGAGUUAGGAGGCAGGAGCAGGUAAAGGGUAGAUAUGGAGGCAGGAGCAGGUAAAGGGUAGAUAUGGAGGCAGGAGCAGGUAAAGGGUAGAUAUGGAGUUAGGAGGCAGGAGCAGGUAAAGGGUAGAUAUGUAGUUAGAAGGCAGGUUAAGGGUAGAUAUGGAGAUAGGAGGCAGGAGCUGGUAAAGGGUAGAUAUGAAGGCAGGAGCAGGUAAAGGGUAGAUAUGGAGGCAGGAGCAGGUAAAGGGUAGAUAUGGAGGCAGGAGCAGG